rnacentral:rRNA from 1 species
AUAAAUUUGACAGUAUUAACUUUUACAAAGAAUUUGUUUCUUAAUCGUCAACACACGUAAUACCUUACUUAAUAUUAUACGCAUGUAUACCACCGUAAUGAAAUUAUUUUAAAUAAAUUUCUUAAUAAACAAUUUUAUAAAAUCAGGUCAAGGUGCAACAUUAUUAAGAUGAAAUCAAUUACAUUAAUUUAUAUAUACAUAUAAUUUUUGAAAAAAAAUUAAAAAAGAAUUUGUCAGUAAAAUUUUAUCAUCAUGAUAAUCAAC